rnacentral:rRNA from 1 species
AUUGAACGCUGGCGGCAUGCCUUACACAUGCAAGUCGAACGGCAGCACGGGUGCUUGCACCUGGUGGCGAGUGGCGAACGGGUGAGUAAUACAUCGGAACGUACCUUAUCGUGGGGGAUAACGCAGCGAAAGCUGUGCUAAUACCGCAUACGCCCUGAGGGGGAAAGCGGGGGAUCGAAAGACCUCGCGCGAUUAGAGCGGCCGAUGCCUGAUUAGCUUGUUGGUGGGGUAAAAGCCCACCAAGGCGACGAUCAGUAGCUGGUCUGAGAGGACGAUCAGCCACACUGGGACUGAGACACGGCCCAGACUCCUACGUGAGGCAGCAGUGGGGAAUUUUGGACAAUGGCGGCAACCCUGAUCCAGCAAUGCCGCGUGAGUGAAGAAGGCCCUCGGGUUGUAAAGCUCUUUUGUCAGGGAAGAAACACCGGCUCUAACACAGUCCGGGAAUGACGGUACCUGAAGAAUAAGCACCGGCUAACUACGUGCCAGCAGCCGCGGUAA